rnacentral:lncRNA from 1 species
CCCGGUUCAGUCUCUUAUUUAUUCUUUUAAAAAUCAGGUUUUAAAAAAGGACAGGGAAGCAAGAACGCAGGGAAAUCACUUUUGGAAACUCGGUGGUUCUUACAGAGAAACACUGCGAUGAGCGCUUGUCCCAAGGUGAAACACAUACAUCCUCCUCGGAAGAGUUAUUUAAAAAUUAAAACCUACAAAUCGUUAGUCCAAAUAGCUCUGUGAAAUAGCUGCAAAGAUUAAAACAGCACCUCGAGCUGUAAAAUCGCCCCCAUAGAGUAAAUAUCAGCCUUACAUCAUUCCCUCUUGCUGUCAGUUGCCGGGCCGUAGUGUGCCGCAGUAUGUAGCACAGAGGUUACCUCCCGCAUUCCUCUCCCUGUGCGCGCUGCACGGACUCCUCCCGUCGCAAGUAUGUGCUGCUAGAAAGAACAAGUGGAUCAUUUCUCACGGGAGCCUAUGUAUUGAUUCUCCUGAACCUGAAAAUCCCACGGUUGUAUGAACUGAAAUAAGUAACUUUUAGGGCCAUUUCAGAAGUUAACACUAGGUCAGUUACUACUAUAAGUAGUACUUUAGUGUGAUUAUCAAACUCCAUACUGAAAAGACUUCAGGAGUCAUCUUUACUGGAACAAGCUCUAGUCUAAGCUGUCAGAAAUCUUCGCUUGAGAAGAGCCAGAAGGCCAGAGCCAGUCCUGCCAGUGUUACCAAAUGGACAUGAGAGUUUGUGCCCCUGGAUGCUUGAGGGAGCGCAGCUGCCAAGAGUACCACUAAUGAAUCAGAACACCAGCCACUGGGUCUCAGCCUUCCUGCAGGCCAGCCAUGUGGCCAGGAGUUACGUGCUGCAGGGCCUCCUAUGCCACAUCAUCUGGCAGGAAAAUAUCUGAUGAAAUCAACAAGUUUAUAAAUUCACAUAACCUCAGGGAAAAUUUGCUGUCAAAUGCAUUCCUGUUGAAACAACUCUUAACAGACUUGAGGACACGAGUAAGAGCUGACAAUUGUUGCACAGAGCAGAUACAACUUCUUUAGUAAAGUCUGCUAUUAAGGUUUCUGAGAACCUGGAAAACUCCAAUGCAAAACCACAGUGACCAUUUUAGACCCAGCAAUGAAAGGCUUCAGGCACAGAGUGCCCAGCUGCAUAGUUUUGGUUUGCAAGUUUCAAUUGCACCGAUUCUGUGUGCAUUGCUAGGAGUGAAACUCCAGCAGCGUUGCAGCAAACAAUAGGCAGCCUAAUGGCCACACUCAACAGUAUCAAACCUCAGCAAGGAGGAUUAUGUUAAAAAAAAUUAAAGAAAGCAUAUGCUCAGC